rnacentral:rRNA from 1 species
UACAGAGGUCCCGAGCGUUGUUCGGAUUCACUGGGCGUAAAGGGUGCGUAGGUGGUGAGGUAAGUCGGAUGUGAAAUCUCCGGGCUUAACCCGGAAACUGCAUUGGAAACUACCUUGCUAGAGGUUUUGAGGGGGGACUGGAAUUCUCGGGUGUAGCAGUGAAAUGCGUAGAUAUCGAGAGGAACACCGGUGGCGAAGGCGAGUCCCUGGAAAACACCUGACACUGAGGCACGAAAGCUAGGGGAGCAAACAGG